UGCUGAUAUACGGAAGGGUGUCUGAGGUGGGCGCAUCAUUUCAUGAGCCAUCCAUUACUCUUUGCUGUGACUUCUGAUCCAUAGCUUUGCCUUCACCCCACAUCUGCACGCAAUAAAGCUUAGNNNNNNNNNNNNNNNNNNNNNNNNNNNNNNNNNNNGGCAUAUACGUCUAAAAAGUGCUAUAAAGGGCAAUGGCUCGAGAAACAACCGUCAGGAGCAUGAGCUUUUUAUUAUUUUAAAGGGCAUUUCAACGACACUGCUGAACGUUUUCUGACCAUAAGUCUGACUCCUGUCCUCUCUCUCUUUCUUUUCUCCUCCUCUCAGGAUAUCAAAGCAGACUGCAAUACUUGUGUGGAAAUAGAGGACAGAAAGGGACUCUGCUCACCGCAUGAGAGCGUGUUCCCUGCCUGCUUCCGAAGUUCAGGAUCGCUUCCUUGGGAUUUACUUAUUUCGUUGUUUAUUUUGAUGGGGCUGGGUCUUGAUUGCUGCGCCUGGGCUCUCUCUGGUUGUGGCCGGUGGGGGCGACCGUCCCGUGCGGUGUGGAGGCUUCUCACUGCAGUAGCUUCUCUCGUUGUGGAGCAGGGGCUCUAGACUGCAGGCUCCGUAGCUGUGGGGCACGGGCUUCGUUGCUCGGAAGCACGUGGAAUCUUCUUGGACCAGGAAUUGAACCUGUGUCCCUUGCAUUGGCGGGUGGAUUCUUAAACCACUGGACCACCAGGGAAGUCCUUCCCUUGGAUGUUCGUGGAAUUCAUAAACGUGUUUCUGUAUAGUUUUUUGGUUUGUUUGUUUUGUUUUACUUUCUUUGCCAGUUGUGUUGGAUUCCAGAUUCCAGAAGGAUGAUGCUGUUGAAACAACAUCACCUCCGUCACCAGCAAGAUAAAUGAACAAGGAGGAUAUUCUCUGGGCAGUGUAAGCUGGUCGCACACUCCACUCUUCCACCCAGACCCCCUUUGGCUCAUGUUUCAUGAUGAUAGUGGUCUCCCCCAUCUAUGGGCGCUCUCUAGUGAUGACUGGUGGGGAUAAGUCAGAGGCGGUCAUUCUGUACAUAACUUCAACUGUUUUCAAAGAAGAGUAACAGACUCAUACACACACUUAAGUUUCCGUGCUUUGUCACGGACAGUUG
rnacentral:lncRNA from 1 species